GAGCAGUAUUGCAAGGCAGAGCGCCACCGCUGUGGACCCUUAUGGGUAAGUACAUCUACAACGGCACAGAAGUCCUGAUAUGAUUCCUUCACAAAAGAGCUCAACUCUAUGAUUGGUCAGUCAAAAGUUUUGAUGCUGACAUGAAUUGUAACUAAUUGUGUUUGUGCCACAGGUUUCCAAAUAUCAGACAGAGCUGCGAUAUGAACUCUUGCCUGCAGAGUUUCUUAACACUGGAGCAGUUUGUUCAGGACAUCAGCCGUCGAAAGAAGUUUGGAAUUCAGCCCCUCAAGCCAAUUUGAUCAGGUACUAUAACUACAAACUCUCAGACUUCAUACACAGUCAUGUCACUCUCAGAUGUCUCCACAAACAUUCAGAAGAAAAUGAACCAACAUAUUAACUCUUUUCUAUUCUUCUCUGCAGACAUUUUAUGGCUCUGAGGGAUGCUCAUUUGUUAACGGACCGGCAAAGUAAAAGACGUCUUCUGCAAUCGUUCAAGAAGGCGGUCUCUGAUCAGGAACCCCAAUUCAGGGACGACCAACAAAAAG